GAUGAAGAACGCAGCGAAAUGCGAUACGUAGUGUGAAUUGCAGAAUUCAGUGAAUCAUCGAAUCUUUGAACGCACAUUGCACCUCUCGGUAUUCCGGGAGGUAUGCCUGUUCGAGCGUCAUUUGUACCCUCAAGCUCUGCUUGGUGUUGGGUGUUUGUUCCGCCUCUGUGUGUGAACUCGCCUCAAAACAAUUGGCAGCCGGCGGACUUGUUUCGGAGCGCAGCACAUUUUGCGAUCCAGAUCAACGUACAGCGGCAUCCAAGAAGCCUUAUUUAACGCUCUUGACCUCGGAUCAGGUAGGGAUACCCGCUGAACUUAAGCAUAUCAAUAAGCGGAGGA
rnacentral:misc_RNA from 1 species